rnacentral:rRNA from 1 species
AUUGAACGCUGGCGGCAUGCCUUACACAUGCAAGUCGAACGGCAGCGCGGACUUCGGUCUGGCGGCGAGUGGCGAACGGGUGAGUAAUGUAUCGGAACGUACCAUUCAGUGGGGGAUAACGCAGCGAAAGUUGCGCUAAUACCGCAUAUUCUGUGCGCAGGAAAGCAGGGGAUCGCAAGACCUUGCGCUGAUUGAGCGGCCGAUAUCAGAUUAGCUAGUUGGUGAGGUAAAGGCUCACCAAGGCGACGGUCUGUAGCGGGUCUGAGAGGAUGAGCCGCCACACUGGAACUGAGACACGGUCCAGACUCCGACGGGAGGCAGCAGUGGGGAAUUUUGGACAAUGGGCGCAAGCCUGAUCCAGCCAUGCCGCGUGAGUGAAGAAGGCCUUCGGGUUGUAAAGCUCUUUCGGCCGGGAAGAAAUCGUAUGGGUUAAUACCCUGUGCGGAUGACGGUACCGGCAUAAGAAGCACCGGCUAACUACGUGCCAGCAGCCGCCGUAAGAC